GAUGAAGAACGUAGCGAAAUGCGAUAAGUAAUGUGAAUUGCAGAAUUCAGUGAAUCAUCGAAUCUUUGAACGCACAUUGCGCCCGCCAGUAUUCUGGCGGGCAUGCCUGUCUGAGCGUCAUUUCAACCCUCAUGCCCCUAGGGCGUGGUGUUGGGGAUCGGCCAAAGCCCGCGAGGGACGGCCGGCCCCUAAAUCUAGUGGCGGACCCGUCGUGGCCUCCUCUGCGAAGUAGUGAUAUUCCGCAUCGGAGAGCGAUGAGCCCCUGCCGUUAAACACCCAACUUCUGAAAUGUUGACCUCGGAUCAGGUAGGAAUACCCGCUGAACUUAAGCAUAUCAAUAAGCGGAGGA
rnacentral:misc_RNA from 1 species